GAGAACAACUUACAGCCUUUAGAUCAAUCAAGAUCCAACGCUCCAUAUCUACUCCUGUCAAAGUAAUGGCACUAUUGUAAAUUAAAGAACUUUCUAAGUUGUAUAUAAUAAAGUUUAUAAAAAUCGUUCUAGCUCUUUCUCUCUCUAAAAUUGGUGCAGCUGAUAUUCUCCCUCUCUGACAUUUUAUCCCCAAAAAUGUCGACUUUAAUUCCUUAAAAUUUCUACUUCAAUUCUUAUACAUUUUGUAGUUUAUUGUUCUAAAUACUGAUUUCGAUCUCCCACAAUCGAAUGUUGUACGAUCUCCCACAUUCGAAUUAAAGAACAAAAACCCUAGAUUUAUUGAAUUUCAAAAUAGUUUCAACAUAGAUUUAAACCACCGUAUCCGACGAUCUUCCAGCGAGGUGGUCACCAACAUUUCUUUCGGAUCUAGCUGAAGGGGGCAAAGCUUCGAAGGUUACUUCUGUAAUGGCUAUAUCCCAACUGAGAAACUCUAGGCUUCCGCUGAUGAAUCUAAUAAGAAUGAAUGGAGUACCUAUACUACAACAACUACAUCUUGAAGAAAAGUUGCUUCGUUCUUCAUCUGAUAAUUGGUGUAUCAUCAAUGAUGGAACACCUGAUCCUACAGUUGUCAUGGGAAUAUCAGGGUGCAUGCAAUAUAUGUGCAUGAAUUAUGUCAAAAUAAAUACUUUUACCUCUCUACAGUGGCCAUGAUGCGCAAAAGGAAGGAGGGUUUUUUUGCGUCUAUUUAACAAGAAAGGAAUGACCAAGAAUUUACAUAUAUGAUUCUAAUACCAUUCCAAGAUUGACCAAGAAAGUAUUGACCAUCUUGGCAUUAGUGUAGUUCUGAGCUCCUGUUAUGUGCUUUCUGACUUAAUGCCUGAAACAGAGCCUAGAUAUUCCUGAAUCUACAAAUUAAUCAUUAGGUGUAAUAUAUACAUUGCUAGUCUGAUGUGUAGUAGUUGAAUUUGAUGACAGGGAACUUCUUAAUACCUAAUAUUAAGCUUUGGCAAAUGAUUUACUUUAGAUUUGCAAGGUUCCUCGAAGAUGUGAAUUGCUUAGAAAAUUAGCAUGAUUUCUUGAGCUAUUCUACUUGACAUCGUAAUUUGGUGAGGUCUUUUGCUGUUCAUGCUAUCAGCAAUAAUUAAACAAAUGUUUGCUCAUU